AACGAACGCUGGCGGCGUGCCUAAACCAUGCAAGUCGAACGCGCUGGGGCAACUCAGCGAGUGGCGCACGGGUGAGUAACGCGUGGGUAAUCUACCUUUGAGUGGGGAAUAACUUUCCGAAAGGAGAGCUAAUACCGCAUACGGCUUUAGGGCGCUAGUCUUAAAGUUAAAGGGGGCGCAAGCUCUCGCUCGAAGAGGAGCCCGCGUUCCAUUAGCUAGUUGGUGGGGUAAUGGCCUACCAAGGCGACGAUGGAUAGCUGGUCUGAGAGGACGACCAGCCACACUGGAACUGACACACGGUCCAGACUCCGACGGGAGGCAGCAGUUAGGAAUAUUGCACAAUGGGGGAAACCCUGAUGCAGCGACGCCGCGUGGGUGAUGAAGGCCUUCGGGUUGUAAAGCCCUGUCGGCUGGGAAAAAGGUAGUCGUGCUAAUACCACGAUUGCUUGAUGGUACCAGCAAAGGAAGCACCGGCUAACUCUGUGCCAGCAGCCGCCGUAAUAC
rnacentral:rRNA from 1 species